rnacentral:rRNA from 1 species
GACGAACCGUGCAAACGUUGUUCGGAAUCACUGGGCUUAAAGGGCGCGUAGGCGGGCGCACAAGUCAGGGGUGAAAGCCCACGGCUCAACCGUGGAAGAGCCUUUGAUACUGUGUGUCUUGAGGGAGGUAGGGGGCGUGCGGAACUUCCGGUGGAGCGGUGAAAUGCGUAGAUAUCGGGAGGAACACCGGCGGCGAAGGCGGCCCUCUGGACGGUGACUGACGCUGAGACGCGAAAGCGUGGGGAGCAAACAGG